rnacentral:rRNA from 1 species
CUGCAGAAUUCGCCCUUAGAGUUUGAUCCUGGCUCAGAAUGAACGCUGGCGGCGUGCUUUACACAUGCAAGUCGAGCGAGGCGUACGGAGCUUGCUCCGUACAGUCGAGCGGCGAACGGGUGAGUAACGCGUGGAUAUCUACCCUGAGGUGGGGGAUAACCCGGGGAAACUCGGGCUAAUACCGCAUGAUACCGCGAGGUCAAAGAGGGCUUCGGCUCUCGCCAUGGGAUGAGUCUGCGUCCGAUUAGCUAGUUGGUGAGGUAAAGGCUCACAAAGGCGACGAUCGGUAGCCGGCCUGAGAGGGUGAUCGGCCACACUGGAACUGAGACACGGUCCAGACUCCUACGGGAGGCAGCAGUGGGGAAUUUUGCGCAAUGGGGGAAACCCUGACGCAGCAACGCCGCGUGGAGGAUGAAGGUUUUCGGAUUGUAAACUCCUGUCAGUGGGGAAAAAGGCUUGCGACCUAAUACGUCGAGGAGCUUGAUUGUACCCGCAGAGGAAGCCCCGGCUAACUCUGUGCCAGCAGCCGCGGUAAUACAGAGGGGGCGAGCGUUAUUCGGAAUUAUUGGGCGUAAAGGGCGCGCAGGCGGCCAAUCAAGUGGAAGGUGAAAUCCCUCGGCUCAACCGAGGAACUGCCUUCCAAACUGACUGGCUUGAGUCC